rnacentral:lncRNA from 12 species
CCUCCAGUGAUUAGACGAGUACAGAGAAAGAAAAGGAUCCAUCCUUCACACACUUUCGGUUCCUGACAUUAAGCUUUGAAUUUUCCCUGCGCUUGCUACUACUAUGGCAGAAAUGGUUUCUGUAUCUCUUAAUUGUUGGCUCAGAGUGACUCAUUUUGUUGUUGUUGUUGUUGUUUUUUAAUUUUUUUUAAGAUUUUAUUUAUUUGAGAGAGAGUGAAAGAGCGAGAGAACACACAGAGGGAGAGAGAGAAGCAGACUCCCUGCUAAGCAAAGAGCUGGACGUGGGGCUCGAGUCCAGGACCCUGAGAGCAUCACCUGAGCAGACGCUUGAUGGACUGAACCACCCGGGCAUCCCCAGAACGACUUGUUUUUUAAUCUGAUAAAGUACCCUGCAUUUUUAAAAGAUGGUCUAUACCUGGAUGUAUAGAGGAACCAGUUCAUAUAUAUGUUGAAGUCUAGAAAUUUACCGAUUUAGUACCUAAUCACUAAAAAUCCAGGCAUUAACAAGUCAAAUCCACCCCAUAUAAACCAUUUAACAUCAACCCAGUGGAUGACGCAGAAGCUGUCGUUCCUCCUCUAUUUCCAAGGCCCGCGCUUCCCCAGCGCUGGCCUUCUAUAUAUCAGGCUGGUUGAUGAUGGGAGACACCCGCCCCUUUAGGUUACUUUUCCCGUUGUGAUGUAUCUUCUUGGGUUUGGCCAAUGCUCAGCUUUCUUCCUUCCCAAGGCUUUGCCUUUGACUCAUUCCAACUAUAUAACCCUAUGUGAUCUGUUAUCACUACCGGCUAUAUCGCUGUACUCACGAGGAUGGCCAUGGAAUGACAACACGGAACCCACAGAGUUCAAGACAGGAGCCACGGCUGGCCCGAAUGGUGGAAGCUGGACCUCCGGCAGGCAGUCUACGCGACGGACAUUGGACUCCUGUCUCAGGGAGGCAGCCGGUCCACCCUACAGGCCUGGGUCACACCGCUGCUCCUGAUGUUUCACCCGGGCUGGAUUGGGCCCCCACCAUUCAGCCCCUGCUUCGUCUCUUUCUACAUCGAUAUGUAAGCCUGGGGAUAACCUUGUGUUCUUUGUGUAGCUGGUAAAAGGGACUUUUGUGGCUAGAGGUUGAAAUGGAUGUUAAACGGCUAUGCUUAUAGAAUAGGAAGGGGAGGAGGGCGGGGGGUGGGGGUGAAUGGGUGACGGGCACUGAGGGGGGCACUUGACGGGAUGAGCACUGGGUGUUAUUCUGUAUGUUGUAAAUUGAACACCAAUAAAAAAUAAAUUUAUUAUAAAAAAAAUAAAAAA